GAAGGUUAAAAACAUACUAGACUUUAACCGAUCGUGCGAGCCUAUAUCUAUACAGCGUAGUAUAUAUGUACUACUACAAUUUUUCGGAGACACAAGAGAAAGAAUCCAGCAAUGUAAUAAUUUUAAGAAUGAGGCAAUUCAUUAUAGGCGUGAAGGUUAUUAAUAUCUGUAUAACCUAUUUGAGGAGAAUAUAUAUAUUUAUUUAUUCCUGUUCGAUACCGUACAGAAUCAGCGCCAUGUAUUCAUACCGUACCUGGUUACAAGCGUACUUUUUACUUUUCUACUUUUAGUACUCUACCAACAUACAACUCUCUUAAAUAGAUUUCUAUGUGGAAAUAUCAAUAUUAAAUAUAUUUAUGUUGCAAAAUAAUUCUAUGUAAAAUUAUCAUUAUGUAAACUUAUUUUACUAAAUAUAAAUAUAUGCGAAAAUAAUUCAUGUCUAAAAUAUCUCUAUAUUAUAUAUAAUACUGGCUAAUAAUUCUUGAGCGGUAGCAUAGAAUCGGUAAAAAAAAAAAUAUCUCAAAAUAAAAAUGUAUAUGACUACUUUCAU